GAGAGGGAGAGAGCGGCCGACGGUGGCCAUUAUGGCUGCUGAGGAAAGUCCUCCCACCCACCGGGCACGCAGCCGUACACAAGUACGGGUGGCGAGAGUCACGGCAAUGGCACAGAAACGACACGGCCUGUUUUCAGUCAUGAAGCGAUCGAGACGUUGUACCGUCAAGUGCACACAAUUUGUGUGAUCACUCGCUGAGCGUUAACAAACAGGAAUCGGUGAAACGGCGAAUCCCUGCAGGUGCAAGUCAGAACAGGACCAAUGGAUCGCUCGGUAUCUGUCCGGGUAUGACGCAGAGCUGAAUGCCGCUAAAAACAGAAGGAGGCUUACUCCUCCCACUC
rnacentral:RNase_P_RNA from 1 species